UAAUGGGUCAGCGACUUAUAUUCUGUAGCAAGGUUAACCGAAUAGGGGAGCCGAAGGGAAACCGAGUCUUAACUGGGCGUUAAGUUGCAGGGUAUAGACCCGAAACCCGGUGAUCUAGCCAUGGGCAGGUUGAAGGUUGGGUAACACUAACUGGAGGACCGAACCGACUAAUGUUGAAAAAUUAGCGGAUGACUUGUGGCUGGGGGUGAAAGGCCAAUCAAACCGGGAGAUAGCUGGUUCUCCCCGAAAGCUAUUUAGGUAGCGCCUCGUGAAUUCAUCUCCGGGGGUAGAGCACUGUUUCGGCAAGGGGGUCAUCCCGACUUACCAACCCGAUGCAAACUGCGAAUACCGGAGAAUGUUAUCACGGGAGACACACGGCGGGUGCUAACGUCCGUCGUGAAGAGGGAAACAACCCAGACCGCCAGCUAAGGUCCCAAAGUCAUGGUUAAGUGGGAAACGAUGUGGGAAGGCCCAGACAGCCAGGAUGUUGGCUUAGAAGCAGCCAUCAUUUAAAGAAAGCGUAAUAGCUCACUGGUCGAGUCGGCCUGCGCGGAAGAUGUAACGGGGCUAAACCAUGCACCGAAGCUGCGGCAGCGACACUAUGUGUUGUUGGGUAGGGGAGCGUUCUGUAAGCCUGUGAAGGUGGCCUGUGAGGGUUGCUGGAGGUAUCAGAAGUGCGAAUGCUGACAUAAGUAACGAUAAAGCGGGUGAAAAGCCCGCUCGCCGGAAGACCAAGGGUUCCUGUCCAACGUUAAUCGGGGCAGGGUGAGUCGACCCCUAAGGCGAGGCCGAAAGGCGUAGUCGAUGGGAAACAGGUUAAUAUUCCUGUACUUGGUGUUACUGCGAAGGGGGGACGGAGAAGGCUAUGUUGGCCGGGCGACGGUUGUCCCGGUUUAAGCGUGUAGGCUGGUUUUCCAGGCAAAUCCGGAAAACCAAGGCUGAGGCGUGAUGACGAGGCACUACGGUGCUGAAGCGACAAAUGCCCUGCUUCCAGGAAAAGCCUCUAAGCAUCAGGUAACAUCAAAUCGUACCCCAAACCGACACAGGUGGUCAGGUAGAGAAUACCAAGGCGCUUGAGAGAACUCGGGUGAAGGAACUAGGCAAAAUGGUGCCGUAACUUCGGGAGAAGGCACGCUGAUAUGUAGGUGAAGCGACUUGCUCGUGGAGCUGAAAUCAGUCGAAGAUACCAGCUGGCUGCAACUGUUUAUUAAAAACACAGCACUGUGCAAACACGAAAGUGGACGUAUACGGUGUGACGCCUGCCCGGUGCCGGAAGGUUAAUUGAUGGGGUUAGCGGUAACGCGAAGCUCUUGAUCGAAGCCCCGGUAAACGGCGGCCGUAACUAUAACGGUCCUAAGGUAGCGAAAUUCCUUGUCGGGUAAGUUCCGACCUGCACGAAUGGCGUAAUGAUGGCCAGGCUGUCUCCACCCGAGACUCAGUGAAAUUGAACUCGCUGUGAAGAUGCAGUGUACCCGCGGCAAGACGGAAAGACCCCGUGAACCUUUACUAUAGCUUGACACUGAACAUUGAGCCUUGAUGUGUAGGAUAGGUGGGAGGCUUUGAAGUGUGGACGCCAGUCUGCAUGGAGCCGACCUUGAAAUACCACCCUUUAAUGUUUGAUGUUCUAACGUUGGCCCCUAAUC
rnacentral:rRNA from 1 species